GAUUGGAGCUGCUGCCCAACCCCUUGGACUUCAUUUCAGUCUAGUUGCUACUUUAUUUCUACUGGGAUGCAAUCUUGGACUAAGAGUCAAAAGAACUGUUCUGUGAUGGGGGCUGAUCUGGUGGUGAUCAACACCAGGGAAGAACAGGAUUUCAUCAUUCAGAAUCUGAAAAGAAAUUCUUCUUAUUUUCUGGGGCUGUCAGAUCCAGGGGGUCGGCGACAUUGGCAAUGGGUUGACCAGACACCAUACAAUGAAAAUGUCACGUGAGUAUAGAAUGAGAUUCUGGCACUCAGGUGAACCCAAUAACCUUGAUGAGCGUUGUGCGAUAAUAAAUUUCCGUUCUUCAGAAGAAUGGGGCUGGAAUGACAUUCACUGUCAUGUACCUCAGAAGUCAAUUUGCAAGAUGAAGAAGAUCUACAUAUAAAUGAAAUAUUCUCCCUGGAAAUGUGUUUGGGUUGGCAUCCACCGUUGUAGAAAGCUAAAUUGAUUUUUUAAUUUAUGUGUAAGUUUUGUACAAGGAAUGCCCCUAAAAUGUUUCAGCAGGCUGUCACCUAUUACACUUAUGAUAUAAUCCAUU
rnacentral:lncRNA from 10 species